UUUGCCAAUUUAAGUGUAAUUUGCUGUGUCUCCGAAAUAUUAAUAGGAAUAUUUAUUUCUUCGAAAUGAGCUAUAAUUCGUCGAAGAGUACAAAUAUAAUCCAGACGCGAUUUUGAGAUAAAUACUUCUAGCUUGUCUUUGUGUUGACAGAGUAUAUAUUAUUUAUGGAACUAAACUUGCGUGAAUUCUAGCUACGUGUUUAGCUAGAUAAUAUUAGCUACAAAUGACAAAUGAUGGAUAUGACGUAUAUUCAUAAAUAAUAACAUUGUUUAUCAACAUAAAUAUUAAUUAAAAAUGGUUCCACAUAAAUAUCAUUUAUAUCCACUUCCCUCUAAUUCCGCGAUCAUCAUUAACAAAUGUCAUUACAGAUAGGUUCUUAUAAUUGCCGAAUAUUGGGAUGUAAGUAUAUGUGAAGUGCAUAAAAUAUAUUUGGAUUUUCUCCUUUUCUUGAUUUUUGAUUGAUUUC
rnacentral:lncRNA from 1 species